rnacentral:tRNA from 1 species
GCGGGCGUAGCUCAGUGGUAGAGUCCUUGCUUCCCAAGCAAGUCGUCGUGGGUUCAACUCCCAUCGCCCGCUCCA